UACGUAGGGUGCGAGCGUUAAUCGGAAUUACUGGGCGUAAAGCGUGCGCAGGCGGUUUUGUAAGUCUGAUGUGAAAGCCCUGGGCUCAACCUGGGAAUUGCAUUGGAUACUGGCAGGCUAGAGUGCGGUAGAGGGUAGUGGAAUUCCCGGUGUAGCAGUGAAAUGCGUAGAGAUCGGGAGGAACACCAGUGGCGAAGGCGACUACCUGGACCAGCAUCGACGUUCAGGCACGAAAGCGUGGGGAGCAAACAGG
rnacentral:rRNA from 1 species